GGCUCAGGACGAACGCUGGCGGCGUGCCUAAUACAUGCAAGUCGAACGCUUCUUUUUCCACCGGAGCUUGCUCCACCGGAAAAAGAGGAGUGGCGAACGGGUGAGUAACACGUGGGUAACCUGCCCAUCAGAAGGGGAUAACACUUGGAAACAGGUGCUAAUACCGUAUAACAAUCAAAACCGCAUGGUUUUGAUUUGAAAGGCGCUUUCGGGUGUCGCUGAUGGAUGGACCCGCGGUGCAUUAGCUAGUUGGUGAGGUAACGGCUCACCAAGGCCACGAUGCAUAGCCGACCUGAGAGGGUGAUCGGCCACAUUGGGACUGAGACACGGCCCAAACUCCUACGGGAGGCAGCAGUAGGGAAUCUUCGGCAAUGGACGAAAGUCUGACCGAGCAACGCCGCGUGAGUGAAGAAGGUUUUCGGAUCGUAAAACUCUGUUGUUAGAGAAGAACAAGGAUGAGAGUAAC
rnacentral:rRNA from 1 species